CCUACGGGUGGCAGCAGUGAGGAAUAUUGGUCAAUGGGCGGAAGCCUGAACCAGCCAAGUAGCGUGCAGGAUGACGGCCCUACGGGUUGUAAACUGCUUUUAUACGGGAAUAACGCGCCUUACGUGUAGGGCUUUGCAUGUACCGUAUGAAUAAGGACCGGCUAAUUCCGUGCCAGCAGCCGCGGUAAUACGGAAGGUCCGGGCGUUAUCCGGAUUUAUUGGGUUUAAAGGGAGCGUAGGCCGGAUGUCAAGCGUGCUGUGAAAUGUCCGGGCUCAACCCGGGCCUUGCAGCGCGAACUGGGGGGCUUGAGUGCGCGGAAAGCAGGCGGAAUGCGUGGUGUAGCGGUGAAAUGCUUAGAUAUGACGAAGAACCCCGAUUGCGAAGGCAGCUUGCUGCAGCGGAACUGACGCUGAUGCUCGAAAGCGCGGGUAUCGAACAGGAUUAGAUACCCUUGUAGUC
rnacentral:rRNA from 1 species